rnacentral:rRNA from 1 species
GACGAACGCUGGCGGCGUGCCUAAUACAUGCAAGUAGAACGCUGAAGGAGGAGCUUGCUUCUCUGGAUGAGUUGCGAACGGGUGAGUAACGCGUAGGUAACCUGCCUGGUAGCGGGGGAUAACUAUUGGAAACGAUAGCUAAUACCGCAUAACAGUAGAUAUCGCAUGAUAUCUACUUGAAAGGUGCAAUUGCAUCACUACCAGAUGGACCUGCGUUGUAUUAGCUAGUUGGUGAGGUAACGGCUCACCAAGGCGACGAUACAUAGCCGACCUGAGAGGGGGAUCGGCCACACUGGGACGGAGACACGGCACAGAGGCCUACGGGAGGCAGCAGGAGGGAAUCGUCGGCAAGGGACGGAAGUCUGACCGAGAAACGCCGCGUGAGUGUAGAAGGUUUUCGGAUCGUGAAGCUCUGUUGUAAGAGAAGAACGAGUGUGAGAGUGGAAAGUUCACACUGUGACGGUAUCUGACCAGAAAGGGACGGCUAACUACGUG